CCUACGGGAGGCAGCAGUGGGGAAUAUUGCACAAUGGGCGCAAGCCUGAUGCAGCAACGCCGCGUGCGGGAUGACGGCCUUCGGGUUGUAAACCGCUUUCAGUUCCGACGAAGCGCAAGUGACGGUAGGAACAGAAGAAGGACCGGCCAACUACGUGCCAGCAGCCGCGGUGAUACGUAGGGUCCGAGCGUUGUCCGGAAUUAUUGGGCGUAAAGGGCUUGUAGGCGGUUUGUCACGUCGGAAGUGAAAACUCAGGGCUUAACCCUGAGCCUGCUUCUGAUACGGGCAAACUAGAGGAAUGCAGGGGAGAAUGGAAUUCCUGGUGGAGCGGUGGAAUGCGCAGAUAUCAGGAGGAACACCGGUGGCGAAGGCGGUUCUCUGGGCAUUUCCUGACGCUGAGAAGCGAAAGCGUGGGGAGCAAACAGGCUUAGAUACCCUGGUAGUCCACGCCGUAAACGGUGGGCACUAGGUGUGGGGAACAUUCCACGUUCUCCGUGCCGAAGCUAACGCAUUAAGUGCCCCGCCUGGGGAGUACGGCCGCAAGGCUAAAACUCAAAGGAAUUGACGGGGGCCCGCACAAGCGGCGGAGCAUGCGGAUUAAUUCGAUGCAACGCGAAGAACCUUACCUGGGUUUGACAUAUACCGGAAAGCUGCAGAGAUGUAGCCCCCGCAAGGUCGGUAUACAGGUGGUGCAUGGCUGUCGUCAGCUCGUGUCGUGAGAUGUUGGGUUAAGUCCCGCAACGAGCGCAACCCUCGUCCUAUGUUGCCAGCGGAUAAUGCCGGGGACUCAUAGGAGACUGCCGGGGUCAACUCGGAGGAAGGUGGGGAUGACGUCAAGUCAUCAUGCCCCUUAAGUCCAGGGCUUCACGCAUGCUACAAUGGCUGGUACAAAGGGCUGCAAAACCGCAAGGUCGAGCGAAUCCCAAAAAGCCAGUCUCAGUUCGGAUUGGGGUCUGCAACUCGACCCAUGAAGUCGGAGUCGCUAGUAAUCGCAGAUCAGCACGC
rnacentral:rRNA from 1 species